CAGCAGCCGCGGUAAUACGGAGGAUCCAAGCGUUAUCCGGAAUCAUUGGGUUUAAAGGGUCCGUAGGCGGUCUUGUAAGUCAGUGGUGAAAGCCCAUCGCUCAACGGUGGAACGGCCAUUGAUACUGCAGGACUUGAAUUAUUGGGAAGUAACUAGAAUAUGUAGUGUAGCGGUGAAAUGCUUAGAGAUUACAUGGAAUACCAAUUGCGAAGGCAGGUUACUACCAAUUGAUUGACGCUGAUGGACGAAAGCGUGGGUAGCGAACAGGAUUAGAUACCCUCGUAGUCCCUGUCUCUUAUAA
rnacentral:rRNA from 1 species